GUAAACGGCGGCCGUAACUAUAACGGUCCUAAGGUAGCGAAAUUCCUUGUCGGGUAAGUUCCGACCUGCACGAAUGGUGUAACGACUUGGGCACUGUCUCGGCCAUGAGCUCGGUGAAAUUGUGGUAUCGGUGAUGACGCCGAUUACCCGCAGCGGGACGAAAAGACCCCGUGAACCUUUACUACAACUUUACAUUGGCUUUAGCUGUCGCAUGUGUAGGAUAGGCGGGAGACUUUGAAGCGGCGUCGCCAGGCGUUGUGGAGUCACCCUUGAAAUACCGCCCUUGCCACAGGUGAAGUCUAACCCUUCCGGGGGAACAGUGUAUGGUGGGUAGUUUGACUGGGGCGGUCGCCUCCUAAAGAGUAACGGAGGCUCCCAAAGGUACCCUCAGCACGGUUGGCAAUCGUGCGUAGAGUGUAAAAGCAUAAGGGUGCUUGACUGCGAGACAUACAGGUCGAGCAGGAACGAAAGUUGGGUUUAGUGAUCCGGUGGCACCGCAUGGAAGGG
rnacentral:rRNA from 1 species